rnacentral:rRNA from 1 species
CCGAAUUCGUCGACAACAGAGUUUGAUCCUGGCUCAGGACGAACGCUGGCGGCGUGCUUAACACAUGCAAGUCGAACGAUGAUCUCCCGCUUGCGGGGGUGAUUAGUGGCGAACGGGUGAGUAAUACGUGAGUAACCUGCCCUUGACUCUGGGAUAAGCCUGGGAAACCGGGUCUAAUACUGGAUACGACCUCCUGUCGCAUGGUGGGGGGUGGAAAGGGUUUGACUGGUUUUGGAUGGGCUCACGGCCUAUCAGCUUGUUGGUGGGGUAAUGGCUCACCAAGGCGACGACGGGUAGCCGGCCUGAGAGGGUGACCGGCCACACUGGGACUGAGACACGGCCCAGACUCCUACGGGAGGCAGCAGUGGGGAAUAUUGCACAAUGGGCGGAAGCCUGAUGCAGCGACGCCGCGUGAGGGAUGACGGCCUUCGGGUUGUAAACCUCUUUCAGCAGGGAAGAAGCCACAAGUGACGGUACCUGCAGAAGAAGCGCCGGCUAACUACGUGCCAGCAGCCGCGGUAAUACGUAGGGCGCAAGCGUUGUCCGGAAUUAUUGGGCGUAAAGAGCUCGUAGGCGGUUUGUCGCGUCUGCUGUGAAAGCCCGGGGCUCAACCCCGGGUCUGCAGUGGGUACGGGCAGACUAGAGUGCAGUAGGGGAGACUGGAAUUCCUGGUGUAGCGGUGAAAUGCGC